rnacentral:rRNA from 1 species
AACGAACGCUGGCGGCAUGCCUAACACAUGCAAGUCGAACGAGACCUUCGGGUCUAGUGGCGCACGGGUGCGUAACGCGUGGGAAUCUGCCCUCUGGUACGGAAUAACUCAGGGAAACUUGAGCUAAUACCGUAUAAUGACUUCGGUCCAAAGAUUUAUCGCCUGAGGAUGAGCCCGCGUAGGAUUAGCUAGUUGGUGAGGUAAAAGCUCACCAAGGCGACGAUCCUUAGCGGUCUGAGAGGAUGAUCAGCCACACUGGGACUGAGACACGGCCCAGACUCCUACGGGAGGCAGCAGUGGGGAAUAUUGGGACAAUGGGGGAAACCCUGAUCCAGCAAUGCCGCGUGAGUGAUGAAGGCCUUAGGGUUGUAAAGCUCUUUUACCCGGGAUGAUAAUGACAGUACC